ensembl:snRNA U2 U2 spliceosomal RNA
AUCGCUUCUUGGCUUUUUGGCUAAGAUCAGUGUAGUAUCUGUUCUUAUCAGUUUAAUAUCUGAUAUGUCCUCUAUAUGAGGACUGCAUAUUAAAUAGAUUUUUAGAACAGGGAGAUGGAAGAGGGGCUUGCUCCGUCCGCUCCACGCAUCGACCUGGUAUUGCAGUACCUCCGGGAACGGUACACCUCUG